AUUGAACGCUGGCGGCAGGCCUAACACAUGCAAGUCGAGCGGAUGAAGGGAGCUUGCUCCUGGAUUCAGCGGCGGACGGGUGAGUAAUGCCUAGGAAUCUGCCUGGUAGUGGGUGAUAACGUCCGGAAACGGGCGCUAAUACCGCAUACGUCCUGAGGGAGAAAGUGGGGGAUCUUCGGACCUCACGCUAUCAGAUGAGCCUAGGUCGGAUUAGCUAGUUGGUGGGGUAAAGGCCUACCAAGGCGACGAUCCGUAACUGGUCUGAGGGGAUGAUCAGUCACACUGGAACUGAGACACGGUCCAGACUCCUACGGGAGGCAGCAGUGGGGAAUAUUGGACAAUGGGCGAAAGCCUGAUCCAGCCAUGCCGCGUGUGUGAAGAAGGUCUUCGGAUUGUAAAGCACUUUAAGUUGGGAGGAAGGGCAGUAAGUUAAUACCUUGCUGUUUUGACGUUACCAACAGAAUAAGCACCGGCUAACUUCGUG
rnacentral:rRNA from 1 species